GCCGGUGGAACUACACCCUUCCACGGUCGAGAUGCGGGUUCGAAUCCCGUCGGCUCCA
rnacentral:tRNA from 1 species